UGUAAGUAUAAACAACUUGUACUUGUGAAACUGCGAAUGGCUCAUUAAACCAGUUAUAAUUCAUUUGACAGUGAUUAGUAUUUGCUUAAUGCACAUAUUACUAAAUGGAUAGCCGUAGUAAUUCUAGAGCUAAUACAUGCGUAAAAGUUUGACUUGGGGGUUUCGGCCUCUGGGAAGAACUGUGUUUAUUAGAUCAAAAACCGAUGCUGUUGGUUGAGCCUUCUCAGCAAUGGGGGGGAGUUCGCUGGCAGUUAAAUAUUGGUGAAUCAUGAUAAAUGUCGAAUCGAAAUUUAAAUGGGUGCUAGUGUGGUGACCCCAUGCUAUUCGUGCCUAUUUUUCGAUGUGUCAUUGAAAUUUCUGCCCUAUCAACUAUGAUGGUAGGAUAGAGGCCUACGAUGGUUUUGACGGGUAACGGAGAGUCAGGGCUCGACUCCGGAGAGGGAGCCUGAGAAACGGCUACCACUUCCAAGGAAGGCAGCAGGCGCGCAAAUUACCCAAUCCCAACAAUGCUGUGGGGAGGUAGUGACAAAAAAUAACGAUGCGGUGCACAAUGUGUACUGUAAUUGGAAUGGUUCUAAUGUAAAUGCUUAGAAGAGCAACGAUUAGAGGGCAAGUCUGGUGCCAGCAGCCGCGGUAAUUCCAGCUCUAAUAGUGUAUACUAAAAUUGCUGCAGUUAAAAAGCUCGUAGUUGGAUUUUGGGGUGAAUUCAUUUGGUGAUAUUUUUAGUGUGCUGGUCUCUUGGCGAGCGGUCUUCUGAUCGUUUGUUAGGAGCUUUCACACGUUUUGAAUAUUGGGAUGCUUCUCUUUUGGCGGCGCAUCUAAGGGCAGGGGCAACUCUGCUACAUUUGUGUCGGCGAAUCAGCGGUCUGGCUUUCGGGCCUUUCCGGGUUGUGUCUCGGGGGAAUCCGUUCUAACUUCGGUUAGUGCGGGUUGGUAACGGCUCAUCCCUUUUGUCUUUUAGGCAGAAUAUGGGCCCUCCUAGAAUUCAUUCCAUAUAAAGCAUUGUUUCGAAAUGCGGUGUUCCUCUUAAUUGUAGUGAACGCUCUAGAACUACUUUCGGGUGGUUUGUGCAAUUCGAAUCGUUUACUUUGAAGAAAAUGGAGUGUUCAAAGCAGGCGUUCUGGGUUUACCCGGGAUUAUAUCGCAACUGAACACAUUAGCAUGGAAUAAUAAAAUAUGACACUUUUCUCGCCAUGUAACUUGUUAUGUGGUUAGUGUUCCAAUUUUGUUGGUUUGUGGAAGAAGUGUAAUGAUUAAAAGGGAUAGUUGGGGGCAUUUGUAUUGCAUUGUCAGAGGUGAAAUUCUUGGAUUUAUGCAAGACAAACUUAUGCGAAAGCAUUUGCCAAGGAUGUUUUCAUUAAUCAAGAACGAAAGUUAGGGGAUCGAAGACGAUCAGAAACCGUCGUAGUCUUAGCUAUAAACGAUACCGACUAGGGAUUGUCGGGAGUUAAUUUACUUAUAACAUAGGUGACUAGGUGUGCUUCGAGGCAGCCUGGCGGGGCAACUCGUUGGGAGAUGUGCGGAGCAAGGCCGGCUUAUGAAGAAAACUAACGCCGUCAGAACCUUUUAGAGAAAUCAAAGUUUUUGGGUUCUGGGGGGAGUAUGGUCGCAAGGCUGAAACUUAAAGAAAUUGACGGAAGGGCACCACCAGGUGUGGAGCCUGUGGCUUAAUUUGACUCAACACGGGGAAACUUACCAGGUCCAGACGCGGGAAGGAUUGACAGAUUGAUAGUUCUUUCUUGAUUCCGUGGGUGGUGGUGCAUGGUCGUUCUUAGUUGGUGGAGUGAUUUGUCUGGUUAAUUCCGAUAACGAACGAGACCUCAACCUGCUAACUAGCCGAGUAAUACGAGUACCAGUCGGUCCUCUUUGCUCUUUAUCGUAGGUGGGAGGGGCAACUCUCUUGCUUGCGUUGGACGGGGAGGUAACCGGCUGAUUAAGAAUAGCGGCUUGGCGGGGCAACUCGUCGGGUGAUUAGCAUCUUAAUUAGUAUUACUCACACCAAUGCGCGGGGUGCAGACUGGGUGUGGCGGGCCUGGGUAACACCAGGUUUUAGCUGCAUUUUAGUACUUGUGCUCUAGCGGUUGGUGGGGAUGCAGGCGGAGCUGCUCGUGGGGGCGUGCAUGCGGGGCAACUCGUGUGUGUGUUUUCUGCGGACUGUCUCUUGCUCUGUGUCUUUUGAAUUUGAUUAUUGGAACUUCUUAGAGGGACUACCAUGGUUGCACAUGGGGGAAGUAUGAGGCAAUAACAGGUCUGUGAUGCCCUUAGAUGUCCUGGGCCGCACACGCGCUACACUGACUAGUUCAAAGAGUACUUAUAUUCUGAAUCUUUGUAUUGUCUUCUUGUGCUGUGCCUGGAGGGGUUGUGGCGGGGUUUCGGCUUCGUUGCAGUUCUGAAGGGAUUUCGGUGCUUGAAGCGUGCAUACAUUCUGAAUUAAAUCCUUGCCCGGAAGGGCUGGGUAAUCUAUGGAAAACUAGUCGUGAUGGGGAUUGAUUUUUGGAAUUAUGAAUCAUGAACGAGGAAUACCUAGUAAGCGCAAUUCAUCAGAUUGCGUUGAUUACGUCCCUGCCCUUUGUACACACCGCCCGUCGCUCCUACCGAUUGAAUGAUCAGAUGAAAUGUUCGGAUUGUGCGCUUGCAAGCUUCCUUCGGGGAGUUGGCGGGAGUGCGAGAAGAGCAGUGAAUCUUAUUAUUUA
rnacentral:rRNA from 1 species